CCUACGGGUGGCAGCAGUAGGGAAUAUUGGACAAUGGGCGCAAGCCUGAUCCAGCCAUCCCGCGUGAAGGAUUAAGGCCCUCUGGGUUGUAAACUUCUUUUCUUUGGGAAUAAAAACUCCGAUUCAUCGGAGCUUGAAGGUACCAGAGGAAUAAGCACCGGCUAACUCCGUGCCAGCAGCCGCGGUAAUACGGAGGGUGCAGGAUUCAUCCGGAUUCACUGGGGCGAAGGUGUGCUUGGAUGGCAGUGGUGAAAGCCCGGAGCUCAACUCCGGAACUGCCAUUGAUACUGCUUAGCUUGAAUCAGGUCGAGGUGGAUGGAAUAUUACAUGUAGCGGUGAAAUGCUUAGAUAUGUAAUAGAACACCGAUUGCGAAGGCAGUUCACUAGGCCUGUAUUGACACUGAGGCACGAAAGCGUGGGGAUCAAACAGGAUUAGAUACCCCGGUAGUC
rnacentral:rRNA from 1 species